CCCACCCCUGCACAAUGCAAAUGAAGCCAUUCCCCGAGCUGGAUUGCUGCGGGAGCAGCUGUCAGAAUGCCCAGCGGCUUCAGUGAGACCUGCAUUCACUAGUAUUUCUCCAAGAGGAGAGAUGUCAUCUCUCCUGUUGAUGCCUCCUGGCAACGUUCUAAAGCCCCCUCCCCCGGUUCUGCCCUGCAACCUUUCUUCUGCUGAUACAAGAACCAUGUAUGCUUCGACGCCUUCAAAGCGCACAGGAGUGUCACAGAGAGAUUUAAUUCUCUAGAAGGGAAUUAUGCUGCAUAAUUGUAACUGAAGCUGUGCUGUCUGGUUGGAAGUGGUCACACAGGAUGUAGAUUUUAUUCCCUAAGUGAAGAAUGCAAGUAUUUCCAUAGCAAAGUAUUCAUGUUUAAAGUGAAGUCUCCUUGAGUGUGGGUGUUUAUAAUUCCAGAUUCCUUCAGAGCAAAUAUUUGCGUCUAUAAAAUUCAUUUGCAAAAGAUUUGACAGGAUGUGUGGAUGUGUACAGAAAAUAAAGGUCAAAACCAUAAAAGUGUACUGAAAAGGAUAAAAGUAAAGUCCUUAAAGUAUGGUGUGUGAGUGUUGGUAUGCAUGUCCUACAGGUAAAAGCCAUUUUAAACAAAAUAUCCAUACCUGUGUAGAUGUAAAUGUGCAGUUAAAAAAAUACAUGCAUUGUAGGUUGCUGUUUCUGUACCCCACAGAGAGAGAUUGUGUGUGUGUGUGUGUGUGUGGACGUGUGCGUGUGCAUGAAGGAAAGGGAGAAAGAAAAUGAGGGGGAGAGUGGGAGGAAGAUCUGUACAGAGCCAGAAUUCUUUUUUUUUUCUCCCAUCAAGAUGAUUAUAGUGUCCUUAGAAAUGAGAGGCUCUACCAAAGAUUUUCAACUUCAAAGAAAAGUUCUCAGUGAAAGCUCAUCCUCUCUGUCUCUCAUUAGUAGGCAGAAAAGCCUUUAACGUAUUCUAGCAUAGAAGAGCAGAAGAGUGUACUUCCCUCCCAAGUCAAACAAAAUAUUUCACAGUCAUGUGAUGGUCUGAAGCUAAAGAAGAAAAAGAAGCAAUAAGACUUUUAGAGGACUAUGAAUACAAAUUUGAAAAUAUUAAUGUACCUUGGGGCUAUUUAGGGGUAACCUUUGAUAUAAACUCCUGUGGUAGCUUCAUUUCUUGUGUCAGUGUCCUAUUUUUUCUAUCAAAUUUGGGUUGGAUUUUUUUUUAA